AUUGAACGCUGGCGGCAGGCCUAACACAUGCAAGUCGAGCGGUAACACAGGGAGCUUGCUCCUGGGUGACGAGCGGCGGACGGGUGAGUAAUGUCUGGGAAACUGCCUGAUGGAGGGGGAUAACUACUGGAAACGGUAGCUAAUACCGCAUAACGUCGCAAGACCAAAGAGGGGGACCUUCGGGCCUCUUGCCAGCAGAUGUGCCCAGAUGGGAUUAGCUAGUAGGUGGGGUAACGGCUCACCUAGGCGACGAUCCCUAGCUGGUCUGAGAGGAUGACCAGCCACACUGGAACUGAGACACGGUCCAGACUCCUACGGGAGGCAGCAGUGGGGAAUAUUGCACAAUGGGCGCAAGCCUGAUGCAGCCAUGCCGCGUGUAUGAAGAAGGCCUUCGGGUUGUAAAGUACUUUCAGCGGGGAGGAAGGUGUUGAGGUUAAUAACCUCAGCAAUUGACGUUACCCGCAGAAGAAGCACCGGCUAACUCCGUGCCAGCAGCCGCGGUAAUAC
rnacentral:rRNA from 1 species